rnacentral:rRNA from 1 species
CCUACGGGUGGCAGCAGUGAGGAAUAUUGGUCAAUGGACGGAAGUCUGAACCAGCCAUGCCGCGUGCAGGAAGACGGCUCUAUGAGUUGUAAACUGCUUUUGUACAAGGGUAAACCUGAAUACGUGUAUUCAGCUGAAAGUACUGUACGACUAAGGAUCGGCUAACUCCGUGCCCGCAGCCGCGGUAAUACGGAGGAUCCAAGCGUUAUCCGGAUUUAUUGGGUUUAAAGGGUGCGUAGGCGGAUUGAUAAGUUAGAGGGGAAAUGUCCGAGCUUAACUCGGGAACUGCCUCUAAUACUGUUGAUCUAGAGAGUAGAUGCGGUAGGCGGAAUGUAUGGUGUAGCGGUGAAAUGCUUAGAGAUCAGACAGAACACCGAUUGCGAAGGCAGCUUACCAAUCUAUAUCUGACGUUGAGGCACGAAAGCGUGGGGAGCAAACAGGAUUAGAUACCCUAGUAGUC